rnacentral:lncRNA from 1 species
UAUGACGAAAUAAACGAGUAUUUCCGGGUUUGACUAUUCGUAUGGUUUGAAUUCUACUAUUUUCUCAUUCUUCAAACUUUGUGUGCUCUGCCUUAUUUUAGAUUAAAAUUCGUGAAGCAUGGUUGUGGAUUUUUGACAUAAUUCCUUUAAUCGUAUGAGUUUCUAUACGUCCUAAUUCACAUAGGUCAAAAUGCCCAAAUUUUACAAUCCUUUAUUUGAUCUUAAUUUUCGAGUGAGUACUGAUUGUCUAUGUAUUUUUGGUGAAACUCAGAUUGGGUGAUCGGUUGUUUACUGAUGAUUUCUGGGUGAUCGGUUGUUUACUGAUGAUUUCCUUGAAAUUAGGACAUGCAACCUGUCUAAUUAUGGUAACCUUGUUCAAUAAAAGUGGAUUGAUAUACAUGCCUGAUUAUAUUUCUUUAUCGUAUUUUUAUACAUGAUAAUAUAAAAUUCGGAUGAUACUCUGCCCGAAUUUUAUGAUUUUCAGCUUGACUUUGUAUUGAGUAAUACUAUUGUGUGUCUGUGAAUAUUUUUCCCUCCUUUGUGAUUGGCUAAUUUUCUUUUUUUUAUGGUAAUUUAGAAUAUUUUUCUCCCCUUAAUUGAUUGAUUUUUCUGAUUUAAUAUUAUGUUUUCCGUUUUGUGCUACUGAUUGAUUAUCACAUAUUUUUUUUUCCUUUUUAACUCUUUCCGGUGCCCACUAUAUAAGGGCCACUCUUCAUUUGUAUUAGGAUAUCUCUUAUCAUCCUCUCCUACCCCUAUACGAAAACUCACCGACUUCUAUAUUCUAUUACAUUUAUGAUUUGUGUUCAAGUAUUUGCUUUUGUUGAUGUGAUAUGUUUUCUUCCUCAUUCGUGAGUGAGUGUUUUUCUAUGUGAAUACGAAAUAAUCUUCGUGCAUCUCAUAACUCUAUUGGCGUGAGCUUGCCUGGGAUCCUUGAGAUCCCUAGGAUCUCGACAGCGCCAAUAGUUGGUUACGGGCUACCAAAGUUACUUUUGUAUUUUUGGGUUGGUUUUGUUUGUUGUCUUAUGUUAGCAGGUUGGAUGAGAAAGAAAAUGAUUUCGGAAACCUGAAGAGCUACCAAGGAAUUGGUUUAAGGACUAUCCCACUUGGCCCGUCUUUUAAAUUCAUUUAUUUUUUUUAGUUUGCAAUAAUUAUUGUAUAAACUCUAUGACGACUGCUUGGGGUGGGGUUUUAUAUGUUUUAUGUGUUACAUAAAUUACCUAGACAAACAAACUUAGGAUUCGUUAAUUAAGUGGUUGUUUAAGCAAAUCUAAUGUAGGACUUAUUUCAAUCAAACUUAGGAUUCGUUAAUUAAGUGGUUGUUUAAGCAAAUCUAAUGUAGGACUUAUUUCAGUCACCUAGAAAUCAUCCUUGUAGGAGUCAAUUAACUUUUGCCUCCUCAAAUUACAUUUGAAUAUGUCAACGUAGCUUGCAUCAUAUUUAUUUACUUUGGCAUGUUUACAAAGUUUUGACACAUUACAUUUUAGAAUUUUUAAUCACAUUUUAAAUAUUCAAAUAACAUCUUUUUUUUUUUUAGCACAUUAACUAAUUUUCCUACUAUGUUUAUGCAAAUAUUUUUAAAACACAACAGUAAUUGUUAAUAUUUUAUCAAAAAUGAUGCUUAAUUCUCUUUUUGCAAAUUUAAUUGGGCAAUGUGUUUCUUAAAUUAUUACUUACGUGAAUACUAUCUCCUAACCUAUAGUUAGUGGGAAAGUAAAAAGAAAUUAAGAGGUCUAAUUCCUAUGUUUUAAAUUAAGCUGUUGCGCUCCUGAAAGUAUCACUCACCAACAUUUUAAAAACUUGAUGAUUAUGUGCAUCUGUACAUGUGUAAAUAUUUUUGUGUUCAUAUUUCAAUACUCAAAUUUUCACUUGUCUUCGGAAGUUAUAUUAUUAUUAUUUUUACUUGAGACCGACCUCUAAUCAAAAUUGUUGCUAAGGUAAAAGAGCACGAUUAGUAAUAUCGUGUCAUCUUUCAUAUAAAAGCGACAAACAUUUUUCUCAAACAACUUUAUUCAAAGGAUAGUUUAUGUUUCUUAAUUUAAUAUAAGCAUUUUGUUGUAAAUUGUUGUUCCUUCUUGCUUCUCUAGUUUACCUUAUUUGUUGUCUCUUUUUUAUCACCACCUAGUUGAUAGCAUGUGUUUGCUUAUUUAUUAUUUUAUCACUUAGUUUAGUUUAAGUUGAAAUAAAACAAAAAACCUUUACUUGAUCACAUAGAAUCCCCAUGUAAAAUAUGAAUUC